GACGAACGCUGGCGGCGUGCUUAACACAUGCAAGUCGAACGGAAAGGCCCUGCUUGCAGGGUACUCGAGUGGCGAACGGGUGAGUAACACGUGGGUGAUCUGCCCUGCACUUCGGGAUAAGCCUGGGAAACUGGGUCUAAUACCGGAUAGGAGCCAUUUUUAGUGUGAUGGUUGGAAAGUUUUUUCGGUGUAGGAUGAGCUCGCGGCCUAUCAGCUUGUUGGUGGGGUAAUUGCCUACCAAGGCGGCGACGGGUAGCCGGCCUGAGAGGGUGGACGGCCACAUUGGGACUGAGAUACGGCCCAGACUCCUACGGGAGGCGGCAGUGGGGAAUAUUGCACAAUGGGCGCAAGCCUGAUGCAGCGACGCCGCGUGGGGGAUGACGGCCUUCGGGUUGUAAACUCCUUUCGCUAGGGACGAAGCUUUUUGUGACGGUACCUAGAUAAGAAGCACCGGCUAACUACGUG
rnacentral:rRNA from 1 species